rnacentral:siRNA from 1 species
UAGCCAAGAUAAAUUCAUUAC